rnacentral:rRNA from 1 species
AAUCGCGGGUCAGCUAUACCGCGGUGAAUACGUUCUCAAGUCUUGUACUCACCGCCCGUCAAGUCAGGGAAGUUGGGAGUACUCAAAAUCCCCACAUUUCGUGGGGCCUACGGUAAACUCAAUGACAAGGACUAAGUCGUA